rnacentral:rRNA from 1 species
CUGUUCGCCAUUUAAAGUGGUACGCGAGCUGGGUUUAGAACGUCGUGAGACAGUUCGGUCCCUAUCUGCCGUGGGCGUUGGAAGAUUGAGAGGGGUUGCUCCUAGUACGAGAGGACCGGAGUGAACGCACCACUGGUGUUCGGGUUGUCAUGCCAAUGGCAUUGCCCGGUAGCUAAGUGCGGAAGAGAUAACCGCUGAAAGCAUCUAAGCGGGAAACUUGCCUCGAGAUGAGUCUUCCCUGUCGCUUUAAGCGACCUAAAGGAACGUUUAAGACUAAGACGUUGAUAGGCUGGGUGUGUAAGCGUAGCGAUACGUUGAGCUAACCAGUACUAAUGAACCGUGAGGCUUAACCUGACAACACCGAAAGUGUUUUG